rnacentral:rRNA from 1 species
AGCGAACGCUGGCGGCAGGCUUAACACAUGCAAGUCGAGCGGGCACUUUCGGGUGUCAGCGGCGGACGGGUGAGUAACGCGUGGGAACGUGCCCUCUGGUUCGGAAUAACUCAGGGAAACUUGAGCUAAUACCGGAUACGCCCUUUUGGGGAAAGGCUUGCUGCCGGAGGAUCGGCCCGCGUCUGAUUAGCUAGUUGGUGAGGUAACGGCUCACCAAGGCGACGAUCAGUAGCUGGUCUGAGAGGAUGAUCAGCCACACUGGGACUGAGACACGGCCCAGACUCCUACGGGAGGCAGCAGUGGGGAAUAUUGGACAAUGGGCGCAAGCCUGAUCCAGCCAUGCCGCGUGUGUGAUGAAGGCCUUAGGGUUGUAAAGCUCUUUUAUCCGGGACGAUAAUGACGGUACCGGAGGAAUAAGCCCCGGCUAACUUCGUG